UGUGUCCUCGGAGCCGACGUAGAUAUGAAUCUUGCCGACAAGCUUUGGGCCUAGCGUCGGCCAGUCGCGCUCGAGGAUCGCUUCAAGAUCGUAGUGCUGCCGCCAGUAGUCGGCCACGCUAUGGUCGAUCACGCCGGACUGCUUGUCGAAAAUUUGCUUCGGAUAUCCGUCGUCGCCAACGGGGCCAUAGACCGCUUGCCAGAUGUCAAACUGCUCGCCGCUGCGCCCGUGAUCGCCGAGAGCAAGUUCGUACUGGUUGUUCUCCUGCGUCGUGAUCACCGUAUGGCCGAGGUAGUCGCGCAUCGCGGGCUGCGGAACGCGCUUGUGUGCCC
rnacentral:misc_RNA from 1 species